rnacentral:rRNA from 1 species
GUGCCAGCAGCCGCGGUAAUACGGAGGGUGCAAGCGUUAUCCGGAUUCACUGGGUUUAAAGGGUGCGUAGGUGGGCAAGUAAGUCAGUGGUGAAAUCUCCGGGCUUAACCCGGAAACUGCCAUUGAUACUAUUUGUCUUGAAUACUGUGGAGGUCAGCGGAAUAUGUCAUGUAGCGGUGAAAUGCUUAGAUAUGACAUAGAACACCAAUUGCGAAGGCAGCUGGCUACACAAAUAUUGACACUGAGGCACGAAAGCGUGGGGAUCAAACAGGAGGAUAUACCAUUGGAUUAC